rnacentral:rRNA from 1 species
GUGAGGAAUUUUCCGCAAUGGGCGAAAGCCUGACGGAGCAAUGCCGCGUGAAGGAUGAAGGCCUAUGGGUUGUAAACUUCUUUUCUUAGAGAAGAAUAUUGACGGUAUCUGAGGAAUAAGCAUCGGCUAACUCUGUGCCAGCAGCCGCGGUAAGACAGAGGAUGCAAGCGUUAUCCGGAAUGAUUGGGCGUAAAGCGUCUGUAGGUGGCUUCAAAAGUCUCCUGUCAAGGAUCAUGGCUUAACCCUGGGCCGGCAGGAGAACCUCUGAGGCUAGAGUGUGGUAGGGGCAGAGGGAAUUCCCGGUGGGGCGGUGAAAUGCGUAGAGAUCAGGAGGAACACCAAAGGCGAAAGCACUCUGCUGGGCCACAACUGACACUGAGAGACGAAAGCGAGGGGAGCAAAAGGGAUUAGAAACCCUGGUAGUCC